rnacentral:rRNA from 1 species
GUAUUCCUACGGGGCGCAGCAGUCGAGAAUCAUUCACAAUGGGGGAAACCCUGAUGGUGCGACGCCGCGUGGGGGAAUGAAGGUCUUCGGAUUGUAAACCCCUGUCAUGUGGGAGCAAAUUAAAAAGAUAGUACCACAAGAGGAAGAGACGGCUAACUCUGUGCCAGCAGCCGCGGUAAUACAGAGGUCUCAAGCGUUGGUCGGAAUCACUGGGCGUAAAGCGUGCGUAGGCUGUUUCGUAAGUCGGGUGUGAGAGGCGCGGGGUCAAC